rnacentral:lncRNA from 1 species
AUAUAAUACUUAAAAGGUAUAUUUCUAUAUAUAUUUAAUUUUGUAGAAUAUGAGAGAGAUGAUGGAUCAUGUCGGGGUUCAAAAAAAACCCAUUCAGAGGGUUUUUGGGGUGACGUCAUUGGAAAGGGACAAAAAUUCACCAUGUUUUAUACAACAAAAAGAUGUGCAAGUGAUGAUAUCCCACAACAACAACACACUCAAAAUAAAGCAAACCGGCUGGAAUUACGAUAAAUGUUUAUGGCAACAUUUAUUUCCAACUGAUAUUCUAAUGAGUAAAUUCAAUGAUGUUUACAUAACUCAAGGAAAAUAUUUCAAAAGCCCGUAGCAACGCACGGACAUUCUACUAGUAGAGGUCUAGUGUGAGGCUGCCCACUGGCCCCACCGACUAACAGCCACUCGUGCCAGGUACCCACACGGGCACAACCCCGUACGGAACCGGAGUCUUGUACGGUAGUCCCACGCCGGGCAGACACCAGGAUCCGUGCGGCUCCUACACGCCGCGCUGCCUCCUUCCCUCCUCGGCUACCGGCAUUGAUCCGGCCAGCCGGAGACGGCUAUAAAAAUUUCCACGUGGCUGCUGAAGUGAGGUAUGCAUAUGCGUUCGUCGAUGGCGAGACUUAGUUUUAAUAAACUUUUAAUCUUUUGACUGGUGAAUGGCGAUUCUCUAGAGGUGGUGCUGGUAGAUUACUACACUAUCUCUUCUUGGCAAAAAGGAAAAAAAAAGAUUACUACACUAUCUCAGCUGUUCGCACGCGUUUAUUUUAGUGGUUAAAACCAUGCAAUCAUGCAACAGCAAGCCUAGAAUGACUGCAAUUCUUUUUAGAGAGAAGCUGGAGGUCUAUUUAAUAUUCUUUGACUCUUGGUUGGACUCAAUAGAACCAGUCCCUGUUAAUAAAAUGCUCGAGAGAGACAAUGUGGCCUCAUUUUCCGUCUUUUGGACCUGCAAAUGGAAGAAAAUUAACGUUCAUACAUCCUCGGACAAAGACAUGUGGUACCUCCGAAUAUCCUGGGUUGGCAUAGGUGCACUUAGCCUAAGUCAUAUUCUUAUUUCGAUCGUAGAAAGAAAAGUCGUAUUCUUAUUUGAGGGAUAGUGUGCUAAGAAAUCUUGGUGUAGUCAUUUCAAGAUGAAAUCAUCUACUCCCUCCGUUCCUAAAUACUUGUCUUUCUAGGCAUUUCAAAUGACUAUCACAUACGGAUGUAUGUAGACAUAUUUUAAAGUGUAGAUCCACUCAUUUUACUCCGUAUGUAGUCACUUGUUGAAAUGCCUAGAAAGACAAGUAUUUAGGAACGGAGGGAGUAGUGAGCAUGCGGCAGUUGUAAAUUCUGACAGCCUCUUUAUCAAACUGUUUCUAAUCCCUCUCGCUCAAUCCUGAUUUGACCUUGGAAUUUUUUUUCCCGUGCCCCGAGCUUGAUUCUGGCUCAUGUAAUACUCUCCCGUUGCCUUUUUUCUGUGGCAUAUACAGUGGUGCUGCGACUGCCGGGGGGUCACUUGUGAGAUGGACCUGUGGUCAAUUAGUGCGGUCAGUGGGGUUCUAUGCGAGGGAAGCGGAGGAGAGAUCACAUAUUUUUUUAGAAACACCUGUUAGUUUAUUCAUAAUCAUAACAAUUACACUUACAGGACCUAAGAUCCAAGAGAUCGCACAUGAAGAGCCUGGGUGGGGUCAUGCCUGAUUGAUUGGAUGGAACAGGAGGUGCUAUGCCCACACAAGAGAUGACUGAGACCAUCCUGGAUGGAAUGGUGCUUAGAGCAUCUCCGGCCGCGCUCCUAACAAGCCCCCCCUAAAGCCUUUUUUAUCGCCGGCAUCGAAAAAUCGGCUAAGUCACGUCCCAGAAGCCCACUUUUCGCCGGUUAUGGCCAAAUUUGGCGCCGGCGAACCCAGGCCGGACCCGGCGCGCUGGGGGGCUCCUGGGGCUUCGGGGGAAACAGAUUUGGCGCAAAAGCCUGGCGGGCCCGCCGAGUCAGCGACCAGGCGCGUUCGUCAUCCUCAUCGCCUCGGUUUCCCAUGGAGAAUCAAUGCCAAGUCUGUCGCGCUGCCGCGCCGGUCAGCCUUCCAUUGAUGCCUCACGCGCGGCGCAGUGAAGGCGCGGCGACGCGCGUCCCGCCCACUCCCGCCAUGCGUACACACGGCGGCUACCCUCUCGCCGCCCACGCACGGCUAUAAAAGCCGCCCCCUCACUGGUGAGAACAUACUCCAUCGCCACAGAACCCUCUCCCCAUCUCGACCUCUCACCGCCGACGCACGUCUCUCCUCUCUUCCCCCGACGAUGAGCAUGGCCGAGCGCUACCCAGGCGAUGGUGCGAUGGCCAACGGCUUCGGCCGUCGCCACCUACACGAGGACGAGGCACGCCUCCUCUACGAGGCCGAUUACCCGGCGCCGCCGGACAUGCGGGUGCCGGGCUCUUGGAGGCUCAGCGUCGGCGGCGUCCCGGUGCCUCUAGCGUCCAUUGGAGCUGAUCGGCGCGCCAAAAUCGUGCGCAUCCGGUCCUCGCUGCUGGAGCAGGCGCAGAACCAGUCGAGGUACGCCCCCGACAGCAACGCGCUGUGGACGGCGUACUUCGACCGGCGCCACGAGGAGCAGCUUUCCUCCACCAACAGCGUCGAGCCCCGCGACCGCCUCAACUCCGACGGGCGGCGCCAAUGGUGGGGCAUCCCCGGCCGCACCCUCGACGCCGUCCUCGAGUACAUCGAGGCCGGCAACACGCCGCGCCUGGAGUACCCGGAACCCCCUCCUUCUCUCGUCGCCGCAGCAGCUCCUGGACGUCGCGGCGAAUGGAGACGGCGACAUCCUCGUCGUCGGGCUGCCUCUCCUCCGGAUCGCCGGCGCUCCGCCCCGUCAAGUCGGAGCCACAGGAGACGCCGCUCAGGCGCCGCACCCGCAGUGGCGCCCUCGCCAUCAACGAGGGUGGCCGUGGCCCCUCUCCUCCCUCCUCCCGGCUCGUUAGGCCAAAGACCGAGCCGGGGCUUCUCUCCGUGAAGGAGCACAAGGCCAUGGCCGCCACUGACGAGACGCCCUCAAAUGGGCGAGGGAGGACUACGUCCGCGAGAAGAUGGCGCGCCAGCGCCGCGCCCUCGAGGAGAUCGCCGCUCGACACCUCAGACGCGAGGAGGGCGGCGUCGUCAUCCUCGAUGAUAGCAACGAGGAAGCUCCCUGUCCGUCCAACCCCCCACGCAUCGGCGACCCUGGUCAGGGGUGCAGCAGGGACGGCGGCGACACGUAGGACGGUGGCGACAAUGACGACGACGGCGUCGACUACACCAAGUUCUAUCGGCUGCUCGGCAUGUAGAAGGUGGGCGGCGGCGGCUUUAGUAUUUAGUUCUUUUUAGUAGUAGUAGUACUAUUUUAGUUGUUGUUGUUUUUAAUUUAUGUUUUCAGCUUUUUGUACAAAUAUCAAUGAAAUCAUCUAGUUUGGUCGGCGUUUGGCCGAAUUUCGGCCGAGUUUAGUUUUCAAAAAAGGCGUCUGGGGCGGCCUUGGGGCGGCGGUUGGGAAACCGACCGCCCCCACACCGAUUUUUUCGCCGGCGCGCCCCAGGCGGUGCUAUUUCAAGCCCCUGGGGGGGCCGAGCGAGUGGAGAUGCCCUUAGUUUGAUAUAGCCGUGUUCCACACUGGUUUUUACUAUAAUGAAAAUGGAGUUCGGUUGAUGUUUUUAUUCCAUGUAAAAAACACCAAUAAUGCAUAAACUUGCGUGUUACGUUCAAAUUAGUCUCAAAACUGGAAAAUACAGUUUUUCGGUCCAAAAUAUUGUGCAUGCAUGUCAUUUUAAUGGUUUUGAAAAGUAAACAACUUCUAGCAACUUUAAAUGAAGCCUUGAUUCACAGGUGAAGUGUACCAAUUGGAACUCUAUGUGCAUUUAGAUGGAUUUAUACAUUCUGGAUAAGCAGUGAGCAUGGAUUAUUUAUGAUGCAUGAACAUGGCAAAAUCAUGAUCUGCACAUUAUUCUAGUGCAAAAGCAUAUAAAGAACAUCACAAUCGGAGUUACGGAGCUACCAGUAUGAUCACAACAAGUUCGGAUGGCCACAAAUGUAACCAAGAAGAAAAGGAAGCUGUGGGCCAUACAAUAGAUUUCGAUAAGUGCCAGUGGAUAGAUUGGAAAGAGUAGCCCCAAAUUCAUUUAGAAAUUAUAUGAUUUGGAGUUAGGGUGCAAAAGAUAUGCUAGGUGUAAGGAAAAAGGUGUUUUGUGCAAAUCUGAGUCAAACAAUAAUUUGGUUUGAUCAAACCUGAGAACAAAGUGCACCAUUAGAUAGAACACAAAAUUCUAGUUGAAAAACAUACAAAAUUUGUGCCAAGAAGUUUUGUAAAACCCAAGAUAUGCUCAUGCAAAGUUUGAUGUCAAAUCUGCCACAAACAUCAACAUGCCCACUUUAAUGCAACAUAACAGCAUGUUAACGGUUUUAACAUGGCAACAUAUUACAUACCCUGAAAGUAGCCAUAAACUGAGCAAUUUACAUAUAUAACUUUAGUUCAUAUUAUGCAUGGUUGAUUUUAUAUGAAUUUUCAAGAUGCUACUUUAUGUUGGAAAAACUUGCUCAAAGCAGAGAAAUAAUGCCACAUUCGAAUUCCUGGGAUUUUUCUGCCCCAGAAACAUAUAUUAUAUGCAUAUGUUCAAGUUUGAAUUAGUCACAUUUCAUUUAUGCAAAUUUGGAUGGAUUUAUGCAUUUUUAGAAGAAAAAAAGAAAACAGAAAUAGAAAAUAAAAAAGAAAGAAAAACCAAUGGGCACCCAUGCUCAAACAGUCAAUGAGGAUGACUAGUGGGCCAUGGGGCUAUGUGGACAGUGGGUGUGUGCGUGUUGUGUAUGAAAAGUAGGUGGUGGAGCCCACGUGCUAGUGGUAGAGAAAGUGCAAAGAAUGGGGGCUUUUACCACGCCUCAACGGGAAUAGGUGCAUGGCCUUAUGUGGUUGACCCAGGCACCGACGACUGGAGCCCAUGCGUCAGCAUGAUGGUGAUGACACGUGAUGCAGACGAGCGAAGGGGUACGCAGGGUUUUAAUCGCGAUCAUCAAGAGCAGAUCCUACGGUGGUGAUGUGCUCGUGUUCAAAACAAACAGAGCAAAACCGAGUUAGCACCAGCUGCGACCAAACUCAUGGCAGGGCCUUGCCAGAGAAGAUCUCCAACGCGCCCUUGUUGUUCUCGUGCGUGCAGUGGAUGCAACAGGAAAAGUUGCAUCCUCGGGUGCCUAUCAAACCUCCCAACAUUGACUGAGGUGACGCCGAGGACAAGCCGGAGCGGGGAAGCGUUCAGACGUGCAUAGAAUCGAGGUCAUGGUGGGCAAAUGAAGGAUCUAACGCCACAUGAGUACCUACGAACUCGCGCGAAUAAGACAGAGCGAAGGGGUCGAACCAUAGGUCGUCGAAGCAGCUCCGGCGACAUGGCCGCACGAAGGAGCUCUCGGGCUCACAAACGGACGAGGCAUGCAUGAAUUGGGCGUGAAAAUAGGGGGGGAAGACGGGUGUUGUACCAGGAGUACGGAGGUGUGCUCCGCUCGGCGAGAGGUGGACGGGGAUGGCCGGAGUGGAGGAAGAAACGCCGGCGGCCGUAAAUGAAGAAGAUGAAGAAGACGGCUUGAACUUGGCGUCCCUGGGUGCGGUAGAGGACGUCGUGGAAGAAGAUGACGCAUGUGAACCCCCUAGACACGAGCCGAGCGCUGGGGAUGGUGUUGCUCAUGCGGGCACCAUGGCUACACUCCAGAAACUCUAGGGUGCUGGUGGAAUUGCCCCGAUCUGGGGUUUCCCAAGCCGGCUUGGGAGAGGGGAAAUGAGGAGUGGAUGGGGAUGCUCCUGGCGUGGAGAGGGGAAUGAUAAGGCCGCGGAGAGGCGAAGCGAGUGUUGCGUGCCCUCGG